CAGUCGCCGCGGGAAUACGCAGGUGGCAAGCGUUGUCCGGAAUUAUUGGGCGUAAAGCGCGCGCAGGUGGUUUAAUAAGUCUGAUGUGAAAGCCCACGGCUCAACCGUGGAGGGUCAUUGGAAACUGUUAAACUUGAGUGCAGGAGAGAAAAGUGGAAUUCCUAGUGUAGCGGUGAAAUGCGUAGAGAUUAGGAGGAACACCAGUGGCGAAGGCGGCUUUUUGGCCUGUAACUGACACUGAGGCGCGAAAGCGUGGGGAGCAAACAGGAUUAGAUACCCCAGUAGUCCCUGUCUCUUAUAC
rnacentral:rRNA from 1 species